CGGGACACGUGGUAUCCUGUCUGAAUAUGGGGGGACCAUCCUCCAAGGCUAAAUACUCCUGACUGACCGAUAGUGAACCAGUACCGUGAGGGAAAGGCGAAAAGAACCCCGGCGAGGGGAGUGAAAAAGAACCUGAAACCGUGUACGUACAAGCAGUGGGAGCACGCUUAGGCGUGUGACUGCGUACCUUUUGUAUAAUGGGUCAGCGACUUAUAUUCUGUAGCAAGGUUAACCGAAUAGGGGAGCCGAAGGGAAACCGAGUCUUAACUGGGCGUUAAGUUGCAGGGUAUAGACCCGAAACCCGGUGAUCUAGCCAUGGGCAGGUUGAAGGUUGGGUAACACUAACUGGAGGACCGAACCGACUAAUGUUGAAAAAUUAGCGGAUGACUUGUGGCUGGGGGUGAAAGGCCAAUCAAACCGGGAGAUAGCUGGUUCUCCCCGAAAGCUAUUUAGGUAGCGCCUCGUGAAUUCAUCUCCGGGGGUAGAGCACUGUUUCGGCAAGGGGGUCAUCCCGACUUACCAACCCGAUGCAAACUGCGAAUACCGGAGAAUGUUAUCACGGGAGACACACGGCGGGUGCUAACGUCCGUCGUGAAGAGGGAAACAACCCAGACCGCCAGCUAAGGUCCCAAAGUCAUGGUUAAGUGGGAAACGAUGUGGGAAGGCCCAGACAGCCAGGAUGUUGGCUUAGAAGCAGCCAUCAUUUAAAGAAAGCGUAAUAGCUCACUGGUCGAGUCGGCCUGCGCGGAAGAUGUAACGGGGCUAAACCAUGCACCGAAGCUGCGGCAGCGACGCUGAUGCGUUGUUGGGUAGGGGAGCGUUCUGUAAGCCUGUGAAGGUGUGCUGUGAGGCAUGCUGGAGGUAUCAGAAGUGCGAAUGCUGACAUAAGUAACGAUAAAGCGGGUGAAAAGCCCGCUCGCCGGAAGACCAAGGGUUCCUGUCCAACGUUAAUCGGGGCAGGGUGAGUCGACCCCUAAGGCGAGGCCGAAAGGCGUAGUCGAUGGGAAACAGGUUAAUAUUCCUGUACUUGGUGUUACUGCGAAGGGGGG
rnacentral:rRNA from 1 species